rnacentral:misc_RNA from 1 species
GAUGAAGAACGCAGCGAAAUGCGAUAAGUAAUGUGAAUUGCAGAAUUCAGUGAAUCAUCGAAUCUUUGAACGCACCUUGCACCCUUUGGCAUUCCGAAGGGUAUGCUCGUUUGAGUGUCAUUGUACUCUCACUCUCCCGAUACUUUUGGAUCGGGAGUGGUGGACUUGGGUGCUGCUGCCUAACUGUGGCUCGCCUUAAAUGAAGUAGUGCAACUCUCGGUUGGACAUAGUACGGCGUGAUAAGUGUCUUCGCCGGCGCCUCAUUCGAGGGUGGCCGAUCGGGAGCUCUGUGCUUCAAACUGUCUUCGGACAACAUCUGACAACUUGACCUCAAAUCGAGUAGGACUACCCGCUGAACUUAAGCAUAUCAAUAAGCGGAGGA